rnacentral:lncRNA from 10 species
AAGCCUCGGAAGUGGAAGAGAUUCUGGAUGGCAACGAUGAGAAGUACAAGGCUGUGUCCAUCAGCACAGAGCCCCCCACCUACCUCAGGGAACAGAAGGCCAAGAGGAACAGCCAGUGGGUACCCACCCUGCCCAACAGCUCCCACCACUUAGAUGCCGUGCCAUGCUCCACAACCAUCAACAGGAACCGCAUGGGCCGAGACAAGAAGAGAACCUUCCCCCUUUGGUGUGGAUGCAUCGCUGCACUCACCCUCCGUGCUGAUUCCGCCUUAGUUCUCCAGCACGUUUCAGUUCCUUCCUCCCCAGAAAAACACUCUGCUUUGACCUUGUGCUCCCCACAACGCCACAGUACCUCCUCGCCUUUGAACUGUUGUGUUUCCCUGACUUCCAGGACAUUGUCCAUAGCCUCCUUGGCUCUGUCUGCUGUCACCUUGCCAUGUCCUCCUCACCUCUCUGGCCCCUCAAGUGGAGUUACUCAGGGCGCGGUCCUUGGGCCCUUUCUCUGCCCUCAGUUUCACAUGAGUGGGCCACAGCCAGUCUGAUGGUGCAGAUGCCAUCCACGUGACUCCCACUGUGCCACCAUUUCCCAGAGCCUGCUGGAGUAA